GCAGCUUAAAGGGCUCGUAUGCUUCUUCACAGACGGGCAGUCGAUAGUGCUGCCAGACAACGGAAGCGGGUAAGGUCUGAGAGUUCAAACUCCCCCAGUCAGUCAACUCGAGACGGGUUGAACGAUAAUUCGUUGAGCGGCGCACCAGAAAAGCACUCCUGUGUGGCUUAGCUGAAGAAGGCUAUACGUGCGUUGUACGUGUUGGCAAGAGGCGACGAUAGCUGCAGCUGGGAGCUGGGAACACGUCGUGGGAGUCGCACUGUCAGUCUCUUAUGGUUUGAGAAAAGCGCGUACACCUACAUUGGUGUAUUCGUUACACUGUCAGUGCUUAAGUGCACUACGAGCCGUCCAAUUGGAAAACUCGAUUCAGACUACUCUUUGGCUGC
rnacentral:RNase_P_RNA from 2 species